rnacentral:rRNA from 1 species
UACGAAGGGGGCUAGCGUUGCUCGGAAUGACUGGGCGUAAAGGGCGCGUAGGCGGCUUGUAGAGUCGGAUGUGAAAUUCCUGGGCUUAACCUGGGGGCUGCAUUCGAUACCUACGGGCUUGAGUGCGGAAGAGGGUCGUGGAAUUCCCAGUGUAGAGGUGAAAUUCGUAGAUAUUGGGAAGAACACCGGUGGCGAAGGCGGCGACCUGGUCCGUGACUGACGCUGAGACGCGAAAGCGUGGGGAGCGAACAGG